UACGGGAGGCAGUAGUGGGGAAUAUUGCACAAUGGGCGCAAGCCUGAUGCAGCCAUGCCGCGUGUAUGAAGAAGGCCUUCGGGUUGUAAAGUACUUUCAGUCGUGAGGAAGGUGUUAAGGUUAAUAACCUUAGCAAUUGACGUUAGCGACAGAAGAAGCACUGGCUAACUCCGUGCCAGCAGCCGCGGUAAUACGGAGGGUGCGAGCGUUAAUCGGAAUUACUGGGCGUAAAGGGCACGCAGGCGGUUAAUUAAGUUGGAUGUGAAAUCCCCGGGCUUAACCUGGGAAUGGCAUUCAAGACUGGUUAGCUAGAGUCUUGUAGAGGGGGUAGAAUUCCAUGUGUAGCGGUGAAAUGCGUAGAGAUGUGGAGGAAUACCGGUGGCGAAGGCGGCCCCUGGACAAAGACUGACGCUCAUGUGCGAAAGCGUGGGGAGCAAACAGGGAUUAGAUACC
rnacentral:rRNA from 1 species